GCUCUGGGCGCAUAUGUGGAGCGGUAAGAUAUACUUUAACAUAUGUUUUAUUUCUGCUUUAAGCGAAAGUUUCAAGUCUCUUGAUAAAUCACAUAAUGGGACGGAGAGAGAGUGAGAUUUCUUUUACUAUUGAACUGCUAUAUCAUUUUUAGGGAAAUUAAAAGCUUCCUAGAUCAGUACUUCAAUCCUAGAUACAUCAACUCUUUCUGGGAUUGACCAUUUGUAUGUAAUUCUUACAUUUGCUUCUUGUCUAUGUAGUAUGUACCCUUAUGGCAAUUAUGUCUUUAACUUGUCACUAUACCGGAGCCACUAACCUGAGAAGUUCUUUUCAAUUGAUUAUGGAUUCUAGUUGCUUUCUAGUCACACGAUCCAUAUGAAAAUUUGCACUGCAGCAUCUAGCUUGGCUCUAAGCAUAUGUGAUUGCCACAUAUAUGGUAUUAAAAUUUAAAUAGAGUUUAUAAAUGUG
rnacentral:misc_RNA from 1 species